CAACUACUCCCUCCGUCCGAAAAUACUUUUCAUCAAAAUGGAUAAAAAGAUGUAUCUAGAACUAAUAUACAUUUAGAUACAUCCCCUUUUAUUCACUUUGAUGACAAGUAUUUCCGGACGGAGGGAGUACUAC
rnacentral:pre_miRNA from 1 species